UACAGAGGUCUCAAGCGUUGUUCGGAUUCAUUGGGCGUAAAGGGUGCGUAGGCGGCGCGGUAAGUCGGGUGUGAAAUCUCGGAGCUUAACUCCGAAACUGCAUUCGAUACUGCCGUGCUUGAGGACUGGAGAGGAGACUGGAAUUUACGGUGUAGCGGUGAAAUGCGUAGAUAUCGGUAAGGAAGACCAGUGCGAAGGCGGGUCUCUGGACAGUUCCUGACGCUGAGGCACGAAAGGUCAGGGGAGCAAACGGG
rnacentral:rRNA from 1 species